ensembl:lncRNA
GUGGUUUUCACACAGCUGAAUAAACGUCAAACAGAAAACUGAUUAAACAGAAGUGUGAGACGGUCGAGAAUUUACGCCAGUGUCCUGUUAUAUUUUAGAUAGCAAGGAGCAGACGGCCGAGUUUAUUAAACUCCACCGAGACAGCGGUGACGUUAAUCAGAAGGCUAGACCGUCCAAUUUUACUUCCGGCCUACCCGACCUUCUGAGGACCCUACUUCAACUGAUAUAAGAGAUAUUAAAGAUCACCAUGAGGCUGCUGAUUGUGUUUGCACUUCUUUGUGUAAUGGUCCCUCUGAUCAUUACUGCUCAAAAAUCGGGCAGCAGUGGAGCAGAGGAUAAGCCACCAGAAGAGCAUCUUGUUGACAAGAGAAGCCGGGGGCUUUGGCGCAGAGCUUUUAGUGUCUUUGGAUACGGGAAAAAGGUGGACGAAUGAUAUGUACGGUCACCACUGAUACCGAUUUUGUCUGGGUCUGAAAAAGAAGAUGAUCCCUGGUCUUCCAUGAAAAGCCAUGGCCACCAGACAAAGAAGCAAAUCAUUUCAUCCAACCCUAAACUAUCAGUUUCCCUCUUAGAUCUUUACUUAUUUCCUUUCGCUGUACUGCUACAUAAUGAAUUUGGCAACAAGUGACACAAACUGGAGUGGACUGGACCGUGUCUUCUAAUAGCAAUAGCUGUUCAUUUCUGUUCUUAUUAUCUUCAUCAUUAAACUCUUAAGCAUUAAAUCAAAU